rnacentral:rRNA from 1 species
AAUCCAUAGGUUAAUGAGGCGAACCGGGGGAACUGAAACAUCUAAGUACCCCGAGGAAAAGAAAUCAACCGAGAUUCCCCCAGUAGCGGCGAGCGAACGGGGAGGAGCCCAGAGCCUGAAUCAGCAUGUGUGUUAGUGGAAGCGUCUGGAAAGGCGCGCGAUACAGGGUGACAGCCCCGUACACAAAAGCGCAUGUGCUGUGAGCUCGAUGAGUAGGGCGGGACACGUGGUAUCCUGUCUGAAUAUGGGGGGACCAUCCUCCAAGGCUAAAUACUCCUGACUGACCGAUAGUGAACCAGUACCGUGAGGGAAAGGCGAAAAGAACCCCGGCGAGGGGAGUGAAAAAGAACCUGAAACCGUGUACGUACAAGCAGUGGGAGCACAGGUUUACCUGUGUGACUGCGUACCUUUUGUAUAAUGGGUCAGCGACUUAUAUUCUGUAGCAAGGUUAACCGAAUAGGGGAGCCGGAGGGAAACCGAGUCUUAAUUGGGCGUUAAGUUGCAGGGUAUAGACCCGAAACCCGGUGAUCUAGCCAUGGGCAGGUUGAAGGUUGGGUAACACUAACUGGAGGACCGAACCGACUAAUGUUGAAAAAUUAGCGGAUGACCUGUGGCUGGGGGUGAAAGGCCAAUCAAACCGGGAGAUAGCUGGUUCUCCCCGAAAGCUAUUUAGGUAGCGCCUCGUGAAUUCAUCUCCGGGGGUAGAGCACUGUUUCGGCUAGGGGGCCAUCCCGGCUUACCAACCCGAUGCAAACUGCGAAUACCGGAGAAUGUUAUCACGGGAGACACACGGCGGGUGCUAACGUCCGUCGUGAAGAGGGAAACAACCCAGACCGCCAGCUAAGGUCCCAAAGUCAUGGUUAAGUGGGAAACGAUGUGGGAAGGCCCAGACAGCCAGGAUGUUGGCUUAGAAGCAGCCAUCAUUUAAAGAAAGCGUAAUAGCUCACUGGUCGAGUCGGCCUGCGCGGAAGAUGUAACGGGGCUAAACCAUGCACCGAAGCUGCGGCAGCGAACGUAUCACUUAAAGCGAUUCAGCGGGUUACGAUUGACGGAGCGAAGCGACGUCAAAGCGUAUACAAAGUCGAGUCGGUUUAAGGAUACGUUCGUUGGGUAGGGGAGCGUUCUGUAAGCCUGUGAAGGUGUGUCGUGAGGCAUGCUGGAGGUAUCAGAAGUGCGAAUGCUGACAUAAGUAACGAUAAAGCGGGUGAAAAGCCCGCUCGCCGGAAGACCAAGGGUUCCUGUCCAACGUUAAUCGGGGCAGGGUGAGUCGACCCCUAAGGCGAGGCCGAAAGGCGUAGUCGAUGGGAAACGGGUUAAUAUUCCCGUACUUGGUGUUACUGCGAAGGGGGGACGGAGAAGGCUAUGUUGGCCGGGCGACGGUUGUCCCGGUUUAAGCGUGUAGGUGUGUGUUCCAGGUAAAUCCGGUUCACUUUAACACUGAGGCGUGAUGACGAGGCACUACGGUGCUGAAGCAACAAAUGCCCUGCUUCCAGGAAAAGCCUCUAAGCAUCAGGUAACAUCAAAUCGUACCCCAAACCGACACAGGUGGUCAGGUAGAGAAUACCAAGGCGCUUGAGAGAACUCGGGUGAAGGAACUAGGCAAAAUGGUGCCGUAACUUCGGGAGAAGGCACGCU